GACGAACGCUGGCGGCGUGCCUAAUACAUGCAAGUCGAACGCUGAAGGAGGAGCUUGCUUCUCUGGAUGAGUUGCGAACGGGUGAGUAACGCGUAGGUAACCUGCCUGGUAGCGGGGGAUAACUAUUGGAAACGAUAGCUAAUACCGCAUAAUAGCAGUUGUUGCAUGACAACUGUUUGAAAGGUGCAAUUGCACCACUACCAGAUGGACCUGCGUUGUAUUAGCUAGUUGGUGGGGUAACGGCUCACCAAGGCGACGAUACAUAGCCGACCUGAGAGGGUGAUCGGCCACACUGGGACUGAGACACGGCCCAGACUCCUACGGGAGGCAGCAGUAGGGAAUCUUCGGCAAUGGACGGAAGUCUGACCGAGCAACGCCGCGUGAGUGAAGAAGGUUUUCGGAUCGUAAAGCUCUGUUGUAAGAGAAGAACGAGUGUGAGAGUGGAAAGUUCACACUGUGACGGUAUCUUACCAGAAAGAGACGGCUAACUACGUG
rnacentral:rRNA from 1 species